rnacentral:rRNA from 1 species
UACAGAGGGGGCAAGCGUUGUUCGGAAUUACUGGGCGUAAAGGGCGCGUAGGCGGCCUGCUAAGUCGAACGUGAAAUCCCCGGGCUCAACCCGGGAACUGCGUCCGAUACUGGCAGGCUUGAAUCCGGGAGAGGGAUGUGGAAUUCCAGGUGUAGCGGUGAAAUGCGUAGAUAUCAGGAGGAACACCGGUGGUGUAGACGGCUCUCUGGACCGUAACUGACGCUGAGACACGAAAGCGUGGGUAGCAAACAGG